ACACUCCUGCGGGAGGCAGCAGUAGGGAAUCUUCCACAAUGGGUGCAAACCUGAUGGAGCAAUGCCGCGUGAGUGAAGAAGGUCUUCGGAUCGUAAAGCUCUGUUGUUAGAGAAGAACACGUGCUAGGUAACUACUAGCGCCUUGACGGUAUCUAACCAGAAAGUCACGGCUAACUACGUGCCAGCAGCCGCGGUAAUACGUAGGUGACAAGCGUUGUCCGGAUUUAUUGGGCGUAAAGGGAGCGCAGGCGGUCUGUUUAGUCUAAUGUGAAAGCCCACGGCUUAACCGUGGAACGGCAUUGGAAACUGACAGACUUGAAUGUAGAAGAGGAAAAUGGAAUUCCAAGUGUAGCGGUGGAAUGCGUAGAUAUUUGGAGGAACACCAGUGGCGAAGGCGAUUUUCUGGUCUAACAUUGACGCUGAGGCUCGAAAGCGUGGGGAGCGAACAGGAUUAGAAACCCUUGUAGUCCCAUG
rnacentral:rRNA from 1 species